UACAGAGGGGGCAAGCGUUGUUCGGAAUUACUGGGCGUAAAGGGCGCGUAGGCGGUUUACCAAGUCAGGCGUGAAAGGCCUGGGCUCAACCCGGGAACUGCGCUUGAUACUUGUAGACUUGAGUCCGGGAGAGGAUGGCGGAAUUCCCAGUGUAGAGGUGAAAUUCGUAGAUAUUGGGAAGAACACCGGUGGCGAAGGCGGCCAUCUGGACCGGAACUGACGCUGAGGCGCGAAAGCGUGGGGAGCAAACAGG
rnacentral:rRNA from 1 species